rnacentral:rRNA from 1 species
CAGUAGCCGCGGUAAUACGGAGGGUGCAAGCGUUAAUCGGAAUUACUGGGCGUAAAGCGCACGCAGGCGGUCUGACAAGUCAGAUGUGAAAUCCCCGGGCUUAACCUGGGAACUGCAUUUGAAACUGUCAGGCUGGAGUCUUGUAGAGGGGGGUAGAAUUCCAGGUGUAGCGGUGAAAUGCGUAGAGAUCUGGAGGAAUACCGGUGGCGAAGGCGGCCCCCUGGACAAAGACUGACGCUCAGGUGCGAAAGCGUGGGGAGCAAACAGGAUUAGAUACCCCUGUAGUCCCUGUCUAUUAUAC